GACGAACGCUGGCGGCGUGCUUAACACAUGCAAGUCGAACGGAAAGGCCCUGCUUUUGUGGGGUGCUCGAGUGGCGAACGGGUGAGUAACACGUGAGUAACCUGCCCUUGACUUUGGGAUAACUUCAGGAAACUGGGGCUAAUACCGGAUAGGAGCUCCUGCUGCAUGGUGGGGGUUGGAAAGUUUCGGCGGUUGGGGAUGGACUCGCGGCUUAUCAGCUUGUUUGUGGGGUAGUGGCUUACCAAGGCUUUGACGGGUAGCCGGCCUGGGAGGGUGACCGGCCACAUUGGGACUGAGAGACGGCCCAGACUCCUACGGGAGGCAGCAGUGGGGAAUAUUGCACAAUGGGCGGAAGCCUGAUGCAGCAACGCCGCGUGCGGGAUGACGGCCUUCGGGUUGUAAACCGCUUUCGCCUGUGACGAAGCGUGAGUGACGGUAAUGGGUAAAGAAGCACCGGCUAACUACGUG
rnacentral:rRNA from 1 species